rnacentral:rRNA from 1 species
GACGAACGCUGGCGGCGUGCUUAACACAUGCAAGUCGAACGGUGAAGCGCCUUCCUUUUUGGUGGGUGUGGAUGAGUGGCGAACGGGUGAGUAACACGUGAGUAACCUGCCCCCUUCUUCUGGAUAACCGCAUGAAAGUGUGGCUAAUACGGGAUAUUCUGGGUCUGUCGCAUGAUGGGUCUGGGAAAGAUAUUGUUUCGGUGGGGGAUGGGCUCGCGGCCUAUCAGCUUGUUGGUGGGGUGAUGGCCUACCAAGGCGGUGACGGGUAGCCGGCCUGAGAGGGUGGACGGUCACACUGGGCCUGAGACACGGCCCGGACUCCUACGGGAGGCAGCAGUGGGGAAUAUUGCACAAUGGGCGCAAGCCUGAUGCAGCGACGCCGCGUGAGGGAUGGAGGCCUUCGGGUUGUGAACCUCUUUCGCCAGUGAAGCAGGCCUGCCUCGUUUGUGGGUGGGUUGACGGUAGCUGGAUAAGAAGCGCCGGCUAACUACGUG